GAAAUGCGAUAAGUAAUGUGAAUUGCAGAAUUCAGUGAAUCAUCGAAUCUUUGAACGCACAUUGCGCCCGGCAGUAUUCUGCCGGGCAUGCCUGUCCGAGCGUCAUUUCAACCCUCAGAACCCCUUGCGGGAUCUGGCGUUGGGGAUUGGCAUCCAGCCAGCCCCGAAAUCUAGUGGCGGUCCCUCCGCGACCUCCCCUGUGCAGUAGCGAUACCUCGCAGCGGGACAGCGGUCUGACCACGCCGUAAAACCCCCAACUUCUCAAGGUUGACCUCGAAUCAGGUAGGAAUACCCGCUGAACUUAAGC
rnacentral:misc_RNA from 1 species